UAUUGCACAAUGGGGGAAACCCUGGUGCAGCGACGCCGCGGGAGUGAAGAAGUAUUUCGGUACGUAAAGCACUAUCAGCAGGGAAGAAAAUGACGGUACCUGACUAAGAAGCCCCGGCUAACUACGUGCCAGCAGCCGCGGUAAUACGUAGGGGGCAAGCGUUAUCCUGAUUUACUGGGUGUAAAGGGAGCGUAGACGACAGCACAAGUCUGGAGUGAAAUCCCGCAGCUCAACUGCGGAACUGCUUUGGAAACUGUGCUGCUGGAGUGCAGGAGAGGUAAGCGGAAUUCCUAGUGUAGCGGUGAAAUGCGUAGAUAUUAGGAGGAACACCAGUGGCGAAGGCGGCUUACUGGACUGUAACUGACGUUGAGGCUCGAAAGCGUGGGGAGCAAACAGG
rnacentral:rRNA from 1 species